UUAGGGUGGGCAAUGAGUUGGGUGCAGCACAUCCAAAAUCGUGUAAGUUCUCAGUGAUCGUGGUAACUUCAAUUUCACUCGCACUCUCUGUGAUUCUGGCCAUUCUUGUCCUCAUACUGCGCAAUGUCUUGAGCUAUGCCUUCACUGGCGGCUCCACCGUCGCCGACUCCGUUGCUGAACUCAGCCCUUUUCUCGCUUUCUCCGUAAUUCUCAACGGCGUCCAGCCUGUUCUGUCAGGUAAUUCUUAUUCUCCUAGCUUAUCAUCUCCUUUCUCGCUCACCUAACCCUUUUUUUUUUUUAACCAACCAUGAUAGUAAUACAGGUAAAUAUUCACAGCAUUGCAUUUUAUCAAAUAACGUCAAUAAUAAGACACAGAAUUGAAGAUGCAGGAACCAAUUAUAUGUUUAUUUACUAUUUACUAUGUAAUAGUCAAUUAUUUAAAGCGCGUGCAUUGCUGUAUAAGGUAGUAUUUACGUUGUUGAUAUUUAGCUUUGCACAAGACGGCGACGUGCUGAUGAACAUAAUUUAUAUACAUAUUUUAUCUUUAAUUAUUUAAUUGUUAGUUAUUUUUAUUUUUAAUUAAUUAAAUUAUUUUAUUGAAUAGAAAAUUAAUUAGAGAUUAUGGAUAAAAAGAGCAUAAAGAAAUUCAAUUUGUAAGCAUUAAAGAUUAAUUGAUUUUUGAAAGCAAUUAGACAUACAUGCAUGCGGAAAUCAAGCCAAGGAACUGAAUUCAACAAGUUAAUUCAUCAUGUACACGCGGACAAAGGAGAGAAAUUGAUUUAGCUUUAAGAAGGGACCCACACUUGACUUUUAUAAUUGGAAAAAUGAGCCCUUUAGCAAUUCUAAGUGGCCAGGACGUGUGUGAGAGCAAAUCAAGUAAAAGGCCAAGCCUUUUGGCUUUAGCAUUUAAGAGGUGGGGCUCAUUUUAAAGAUUAUUAAAAGGGAGUUUUGGCUUUUGGAGAGAGGAGCCGCCAGAGGAGGAAAACCCGAGACAAAGAAGAAAAUCUACAGUAGUUCGACUUUUAUGGCUGUAUUUAUUUCUUUUGUUGCUCACAUUUUAAGUAUAAUUAACUAAUUUUUUUAUAUUGAGGUUAAAGAUGAAGUCCUAUUCAAUAAAAUAAUUAUCUUUUUAUUUAUUUAAUUCUCUUUAUAUGUUUUUUAAUAUUAUGAUUUUUAUUUCACAUGAUUAAUUGAAUGUUAUUAAAAUCUUUCAUCAAUUCUGUCAUGCAUUAUUGAUUGUUAGAAUUAAUAUUCGAUUAAAUCUAUGCUUGGAUUUAUAAAGUUUAUACAUGAUUAUCUUUGAUUCUAUGUCUUUUCAUUAAAUUGUUUACAUAGAGUGCUUAGGAAACUUUGACUAUUUAUUAUUCAAUAUGUUUACAUGGGAUGCUAAGAUGUCAUACUAUUAAGUAGAAAAAGAACCUACAUUAGAUUUAAUUAUUUGGGCUUAAUUGUUAUAUUUAUGAGAUGACAUAGACUGAUUUCGAGUUGUCACUCUAAAAUUAGGGAUUAAUUAAUAAUUAGAUAAUUACUAGUUAAAUAGUGGUGGAUUUUAAAACCUUAGUAAUUUUUAUCUUAUUGAAUUCUCCUUUAUUUUAAUUGCUUCCUUAGUUUAAUUGGUUUAAUUUUCUUAGAAACUUAAUUUGGUCAACUAGGUUAGAAUUAAUAUUAAUUUUAGAUUUAAAUUAAAUUUUUUAAUUUAUAAUAAUCCUUGUGGGAUCGACCUCGUUAUCACUAUUUUAUCUCUAAAUUCGUACGCUUGCAAGUAUAUUAAAAUUUUCACAACACGUGCUCGCAUACACCGCCACACAACACAACAAACAGGCAAAUGAGUUCAUUAGUGUAUGUACGUCAACUCAAGCUUUAAUAAAUGUUGCUUUUCUACAGUUAUUAGUGGGGGAAAAAGACCCACGUUCCUGUUCUUUGAUUAAAUAAAUACAAACUCCAUUGAUAUUUUAAAAAGCAUCAAACUCUUUCAAGCGUUAAUUUUUCUACUGAUUAUUUGCUCUCGAUGAUUAUUUUACGUUAGGAAUAUAAUUGCUUUUAAUUAAUUGAAAAAUAUGAGCUACCUUAAUUACUUUAGUGAAAAAAUUUAAUAACAGUCGGCCUUUGAUUAUAAUGUCAAUCAAUAAUUGAGAAGUAGUGAAUAAUUAGACGAUAAACGUCGUUUUUAUUGCUAGCUGUUGCCAUAUUAUAUUUAUUACAUAGCUCCAGCUCUUCCUCUCCAUUUCCCCAUAAUUAAUUUGUUGUGGCUUCAAAAUUCAAAUCAUUAAUAAUUAACGCUACUGCAAUUGAUGUGAUAUAUUAAAGGGAAAAUAUCUACCGUCCACCUGAUUUUGUCCACUUUUUUAAAAAUACAUAAAUCCUAAUUUUUUUAGCUGCGCUCCACCUGAACUUAUAAUUUUUUUCACAUUUCCACCUCCGUCUGCAAACCGUCAAUAAAACUAACGAAAUUUUGUCCAAAUUACUUUUUAAUCCCAAAAAUAAAAAAUUACAUAUUUACCCUAAAUAAACGUCAAAAUAUUAGCUUUGUGAGUAUUGUAGCCCUAAAUAAAAACUGAAAAUCUUUAAAUCCUUUCAAAAAUUUUAUUUUUUAAACAAAUAUUAUAAAAUCUCGCAAUCUCGCAACACAAAAGGACCCCACAUUUUCUCGGGAGCCAAACAGGAACAGACGGAAGAAAGCGAACCUGCCAGAGAAGGACAGGAUUGGAAGUCCGCCCGGCGGGCUCUUCGGCCUCGAGCUCAAUCGGCGGCGGAAGAAUCGGACGCAUGGCGUCCGGAAACCUAGCCAAGCUCGGCUUCACACUACUAGCAUUACCUUCAUCGGCUUCACUAACCGUUGACGUUUUGGCAGUCCCUUUAGAAACAACAGUUUCUUCUGCUUUCUUAGGUUGUUGAUUAAAGAAGAAAGGGAGAUUGAGUUGGAAUUUCGGCAACCGCGAGAGUAUGCUUUUGUUUUCUUGUUUUCUGGGACUGGAAGCGAUUUCUGUGUUUUCCGCCAUGACUACGGUCGAUGACUUUCAGAGUAGAAGAUUUUGGCUUUGCCUUUGCUUUUUCUUUCUUUCUUUUUUUAUUUUUUUAAAAGCGGAAAUUUCACCACCUCUCGUUUCUUGCUUGCUUCUGCAGCUUCUCUUUCUUCACCUUCACUUUUAUUUCUCUCUUGCUUAUUAUUAAAUAUUGGAGCAGAAAAUAAUAAGUUUGUAAAGUGUGCGAACAGGUUUUUGGGUUCUUUUGAGUCUUUAUUUUCGCUCUCAAUUUGUGUGUCUUGUGCAGCCAUGAAUGCGAAUGUGGUGAGUAGAGACCAGAGAAUAAUUAAGCUUUGAGCUUCGAGUUUAUCAAAGCUUUUGUUUGGGUUCUUGAAACCGAAAUAAUUUUUUUUUUGCUUAUUACAGAUCUUAAACGACGUCGUUUUUUAAGCCCAAGUGAAAUUAUCAUUUUAGCCUUAUGACGUCAGCAACGUCUUGACGGUUUGCAAAUGGAGGUGGAAAUGUGAAAAAAAUUAUAAGUUCAGGUGGAGCGCAGCUAAAAAAAUUAAGAUUUGUGUAUUUUUAAAAAAAUGGACAAAAUCAAGUAGACGGUGGAUAUUUUUCCUAUAUUAAACGACACUAGGAGUAGCUGUUGGGUGCGGAUGGCAAGCUUUUAUUGCUUAUGUUAACUUGGGAUGUUACUACCUGAUUGGUAUCCCAUUUUUGACAACAUUUUCCAAUCAAUUCUAUUGAUGUUCACCAUUUUGAGCAUUAAUAAUGGCUUCUUGCUUUCCUUCCAAAUUCAUCUGCUUUCUCGGAAAUGCUUCAUUUUCUUAACAUUUUGUGAAUAUUGGCACCCAAAAAAAAAAAAAAAGAAAGAAAGGUAGAGAAAUCGUUGCAAAUAAUUAGUCGAAAGAAUUUCCAUUCUUGUUUCUUUUUUGUUCUAAUUUUUUUUUUUUUGGGCCAAGAUGAGAUCAAUUUUCAGACUAAUCACAUACGUAUGAUAAGAGAUUAAUUACUUUUACAACUAUUACAUAAUUGAAGACCAAGUUUUUGAAGAUCUGUGUGCAAUUGAUAAAACUAUAUAUGAACAUAAAAACAAUUAAGCAACUAGAUUUAAAAAAAUUUUGUGAAAUUGCAUUAGAAGAAGUCCAAAAAAAAAAAUUUCACGUUUUCUUUUAAAAAUAAAAAUAAAAUCUCGUUCAGCAAAGUAUAUAUUUUGACACGUAACCUACCUAACAAUAUAUGAAUAUUGAUUGGGAACUUUGAGGUGACAACAAAUUGAACACCUUUUUUGUUUAUUUGUUAAUUGACAACUCAAAAUUCAAAAACAUAAUCUCUUACGUAAGACUAACGCUAAUUACAUCUGAAUCCCUAAUAUUUUAUGUCUUAUCAAAUAAUCAUAUGAUUUUUCCACUUGUAUCGAUCAGUAUGUAAUGAAAUGAAGUUUUCCCCGUUUGCCAUAUAUUCAUAUUGUGUUAACCUAACUUUCUAUGUAUGUCUUUGAAAGUUAAGUGGCAGAUGCCAUAUUAUAUCGCCUACAUAUAUAUAAAUAAUUAACGGGGAGGUAGCUGCGUGUGUGUUGAGAGUUGAGAGACAAGACUCACAAGAGCGAAGGAACUUACAUGGAUUCCUCCAACACUGAUAAUAAUAAUAAUGUCCAUGAACCCAUGUUGCAAAGCAACGGGUCGGAGGUCGAGCCAGUGAGUUCUGAGCUUGAAGAAGCUCUGUCGGACGACAGCUUGUCAUUCUUUCAGAGAAUCAAGAAAGCAACAUGGAUCGAACUCAAAAACCUCUUCCGCCUAGCAGCCCCAGCAAUCUUGGUUUACAUGCUCAAUAACCUUGUCGCCAUGUCCACUCAGAUCUUUUGCGGCCAUCUUGGCAAUCUUGAGCUCGCUGCCGUCUCUCUUGGCAACACUGGCAUCCAAGUUUUCGCCUAUGGCCUUAUGGUACGUAAUAGUAUAUAUAUGUGUGUGUAUAUAUAUAAUUACUGUCCGAUUACAAUUAGAAUAUUAUUUUUACACAGUUGGGAAUGGGAAGCGCUACUGAAACUUUAUGUGGCCAAGCUUACGGGGCACAGAAGUACGACAUGCUAGGCGUUUAUCUUCAAAGAUCGGCAGUCAUACUCACGGCAACUGGGAUACCACUCAUGGUCAUCUACAUAUUCUCAAAACAAAUCUUGCUCCUGCUAGGGGAAUCAAGUGCCAUUGCAUCAGCAGCAGCAAUCUUCGUUUUCGGUCUAAUCCCACAGAUAUUUGCCUACGCCGUCAAUUUCCCCAUACAAAAGUUCCUACAAGCACAAAGCAUAAUCUCGCCAAGUGCAUACAUCUCAGCUACAACACUUGUGGUGCAUGUGCUCCUAAGUUGGGUUGCGAUUUUCAAGCUAGGCUGGGGACUUCUAGGGGCAUCGUUGGUGUUAAGUUUGUCGUGGUGGAUUAUAGUGGCGGCACAAUUCGUGUACAUUUUGUUGAGUGAAAGGUGCAAAAAGACAUGGACUGGGUUUAGCUUACAGGCGUUUUCUGGGCUGUGGGACUUCCUGAAAUUGUCAACAGCAUCGGCUGUAAUGCUGUGCCUCGAGAUUUGGUACUAUCAGAUCAUUGUUUUGAUUGCUGGGUUGCUCGAUAAUGCUGAAAUUGUGCUCGACUCUCUCUCCAUCUGGUAAGAUACGAAUUAUUUGUCUGUUUAAUCUCUUUAAUAUGCUCAUCGGCAUCAUGUUGCCAAAGUAAUUCAAUGCAACCGCAUGCUAUUACAUGUGUCCACUAAUGCAGCAUGACGAUUGCUGGAUGGGUGUUCAUGAUUGCUGUGGGUUUCAAUGCGGCAGCAAGGUACGUAAUUGAUUAGUGUUUUCCACUAAUUAGUUACAAUUAUUUGCGCUGAAUUGGUGAAAUACACACGUACGUACAGUGUUAGGGUGGGCAAUGAGUUGGGUGCAGCACAUCCAAAAUCGUGUAAGUUCUCAGUGAUUGUGGUAACUUCAAUUUCACUCGCACUCUCUGUGAUUCUGGCCAUUCUUGUCCUCAUACUGCGCAAUGUCAUGAGCUAUGCCUUCACUGGCGGCUCCACCGUCGCCGACUCCGUUGCUGAACUCAGCCCUUUUCUUGCUUUAUCCGUAAUUCUCAACGGCAUCCAGC
rnacentral:lncRNA from 1 species